CUACUUACCUGGCAGGGGAGAUACCAUGAUCACAAAGGUGGUUUUUCCAGAGCGAUGCUUAUCCAUUGCAUUCCUCAGUUUCUUAAUCCAUUUUCUGUUACAAGAAAAUACCUGGGAUUGGGUCAUUUAUAAUCAAAAGAGGCUGCUUCUAU
rnacentral:snRNA from 1 species